UUGAAGCAUGAUCGUAAGGACAUGUGGAGCGCUUAGAAGUGAGAAUGCCGGUGUGAGUAGCGAAAGACGGGUGAGAAUCCCGUCCACCGAUUGACUAAGGUUUCCAGAGGAAGGCUCGUCCGCUCUGGGUUAGUCGGGUCCUAAGCUGAGGCCGACAGGCGUAGGCGAUGGAUAACAGGUUGAUAUUCCUGUACCACCUAUAAUCGUUUUAAUCGAUGGGGGGACGCAGUAGGAUAGGCGAAGCGUGCGAUUGGAUUGCACGUCUAAGCAGUAAGGCUGAGUAUUAGGCAAAUCCGGUACUCGUUAAGGCUGAGC
rnacentral:rRNA from 1 species